rnacentral:rRNA from 1 species
GACGAACGCUGGCGGCGUGCCUAAUACAUGCAAGUAGAACGCUGAAGGAAGGAGCUUGCUCUUUCCGGAUGAGUUGCGAACGGGUGAGUAACGCGUAGGUAACCUGCCUGGUAGCGGGGGAUAACUAUUGGAAACGAUAGCUAAUACCGCAUAACAGUAGAUAUCGCAUGAUAGCUGCUUGAAAGGUGCAAUUGCACCACUACCAGAUGGACCUGCGUUGUAUUAGCUAGUUGGUGAGGUAACGGCUCACCAAGGCAACGAUACAUAGCCGACCUGAGAGGGUGAUCGGCCACACUGGGACUGAGACACGGCCCAGACUCCUACGGGAGGCAGCAGUAGGGAAUCUUCGGCAAUGGACGGAAGUCUGACCGAGCAACGCCGCGUGAGUGAAGGAGGUUUUCGGGUCGUAAAGCUCUGUUGUAAGAGAAGAACGAGUGUGAGAGUGGAAAGUUCACACUGUG